rnacentral:rRNA from 1 species
GAUGAACGCUGGCGGCGUGCUUAACACAUGCAAGUCGAACGGAGUUUCUUGGAUCAAGACUUCGGUCAAGUGAAUUGAAAUUUAGUGGCGGACGGGUGAGUAACGCGUGAGGAACCUGCCUGGGAGUGGGGAAUAACACAUGGAAACGUGUGCUAAUACCGCAUAAUGCAUUUUGAUCGCAUGAUUGAAAUGCCAAAGAUUUAUCGCUUUUAGAUGGCCUCGCGUCUGAUUAGCUAGUUGGUAGGGUAACGGCCUAACAAGGCGACGAUCAGUAGGCGGACUGAGAGGUUGGCCGGCCACAUUGGGACUGAGACACGGCCCAGACUCCUACGGGAGGCAGCAGUGGGGAAUAUUGGGCAAUGGGCGCAAGCCUGACCCAGCAACGCCGCGUGAAGGAAGAAGGCUUUCGGGUUGUAAACUUCUUUUAUCAGGGACGAACGAAAUGACGGUACCUGAUGAAUAAGCCACGGCUAACUACGUGCCAGCCGCCGCAGUAAGAC